UGCUUCCCUCUCCUUUCUUCUUCCCUCCCCUGUCCUCAUUCCCUGCCUUCUGUCUUGCCCACUCCCACCCCAUUUUCUGUUCCCUGCCCAUUUCCAUUUUCAGCCCUUCUACCUUCUCCCUACUCUCUUCUCUCCUCCUCCCUUUGGCUCUUUUCCCCCUUGCUCCCUGGGAAGCAGCAUCCCGUUUCUGCCUUCCAAGGACAUUUCUAGAAUCUGUUGGGGUUCCUGAGAGAGAGAGAGCACCUGC
rnacentral:lncRNA from 10 species